rnacentral:rRNA from 1 species
UACGGGGGGGGCAAGCGUUGUUCGGAAUUACUGGGCGUAAAGGGCUCGUAGGCGGCCAACUAAGUCGGACGUGAAAUCCCCAGGCUCAACCUGGGAACUGCGUCCGAUACUGAUUGGCUUGAAUCCGGGAGAGGGAUGCAGAAUUCCAGGUGUAGCGGUGAAAUGCGUAGAUAUCUGGAGGAAUACCGGUGGCGAAGGCGGCAUCCUGGACCGGCAUUGACGCUGAUGAGCGAAAGCUAGGGGAGCAAACGGGAUUAGAAACCCCCGUAGUCC